ensembl:antisense 4930579M01Rik RIKEN cDNA 4930579M01 gene
AUGUUCUGAAGGUGCCAUCAUUUGAGAUGGAAGCUAUAUACUUCCACACACCCCAGACCAUGGACUGGAUAAGUAACAGUCUAGACCAAGCCUGGGGCAAGUCUAUCCUCCUUCUCUGUCAGUCCAGUGUGGUCUUUCCUGGGUGAUCUCUCAAAAGGAAAAAACUGUGCCUUAUCUGAGAUGCUAAAAGCCAAGAAUGAGUAAAUGACUGAAAAAGAAAGUCAGCAACAAAAGACAAUGGCGGCACAAUGGAGCGUGGUAUAAACCGAAUGGGUAGUUUCAGCGAGAGCAGAGUUAAUUAUUCCUAGAGACUCCGUUUUUAUAGAUGGUGCCAAGAGGACGACAAAAAGAGAACCACCAUUUGCGAGCCCAGCCAGGUGUACACACCAGAUCCCAGAUCGUCCAGAUUGGCAUAAUGACACCCUGUCUCAAAAAUAAAACAGCUGGAAAGUUAUGAGAGGCUUCCUGUACUCUGGAGAGCUGCUGCGUCUGGACUGAGAGGAGGGAAGUUAGCGAAGGAAGAAGAGGUGAGGAGAAAGAGGAAAGAGUGAAAAUGGUAGCUGAGAAAACAGAACAGAACAAAACAAAACUCGAUGUAUCAGCCUCACAGCCUACGAGUGCUCGUCUCCGUAUUCCUGCCUGACCCGCAUCUAUUUUUACACAUCUGCGGAGCUUGUUUGCCCGCCUCUGGUUUAUGCUAUCCACGGAGCCCUGCUGGUACUCCAGCCCAUUGUCUCCCCCCUGCUAGAUGCUCCCUUGCAGAGGCCCCCUGUGACCAACUGAUGGCUCUCCCUUGCAUAAGGCCACCUGCCCAUCAUCGACAAGUGUCAGAACUGAGUUUUCUUCAACAACAGACAUUUGUCAGGCUUAUUAGUUUUCAGUAAGUCUUAUUGUUUCUCAUCAUUUCCAAAUAUUAAAUGUUGGUUCAUUUUG